rnacentral:rRNA from 1 species
GAUGAACGCUAGCGGCAGGCCUAACACAUGCAAGUCGAGGGAGAAGCCCUUCGGGGCAGAAACCAGCGCACGGGUGCGUAACGCGUAUGCAACCUACCUUUCACAGGGGGAUAGCCCGAAGAAAUUUGGAUUAAUACCCCAUAAUAUUAUUGGGUGGCAUCAUUUGAUAAUUAAAAUUACGAUGGUGAAAGAUGGGCAUGCGUCCUAUUAGCUAGUUGGAGUGGUAACGGCACCCCAAGGCUACGAUAGGUAGGGGUCCUGAGAGGGAGAUCCCCCACACUGGUACUGAGACAGGGACCAGACUCCUACGGGAGGCAGCAGUGAGGAAUAUUGGUCAAUGGUCGGAAGACUGAACCAGCCAUGCCGCGUGCAGGAAGAAUGCCUUAUGGGUUGUAAACUGCUUUUAUAUGGGAAGAAUAAGGAGUACGUGUACUUUGA